GUUUAAAUAAUAUGUUUAAUAAAAUAAUGCAGUGUACGAUUCUUAAGGAAGCAUUUAUACUAAAAUGAGGUCACUAACCUCGUCUGGGCUUCCAGACUGCUGUGUUUGCCAAGCUUCCAAUUGCCUUUCAAGCUCCUUUCUCAACUCUUCCGGAUCUCUAACAAUGUGCUGGGAAGCAUCCAUCAGAAACUGAUGGGCUGUAUGGAUGGUAGAGUCCUUGCUUCUCUCUGGCUUCUCUUCUGUCACCUGUGGUAACUUUUCUCUUGCAGAGUCCUUGGCAUCGUCAGAGUCUAAGAUCUGGGUUUUCGACUCCUCUUCACCUGGUCCAGAAGUUUUAGAGGCAGUAGACUUUGUUUCUGGCUUCAGCUCCUCUAUGUCCACUGCUUGGAGAUCCUCGUUCUGCAUUUCUGUUUCCAUAGCUGUAUCUUCAGGUUCUCCCUCUUCAUUUUCUUCGAGAGGCAUAAUAGGUUUCUCCUGCUCCUUGCUAGCUACGUCAUAGGUCUGUGCAUCAUAGCAUUCAGA
rnacentral:lncRNA from 1 species